rnacentral:rRNA from 1 species
UGCUGGAGGUAUCAGAAGUGCGAAUGCUGACAUGAGUAACGAUAAAGGGGGUGAAAAACCUCCUCGCCGGAAGACCAAGGGUUCCUGUCCAACGUUAAUCGGGGCAGGGUAAGUCGACCCCUAAGGCGAGGCCGAAAGGCGUAGUCGAUGGGAAACGGGUUAAUAUUCCCGUACUUCUUACAAUUGCGAUGGGGGGACGGAGAAGGCUAGGUGGGCCUGGCGACGGUUGUCCAGGUUCAAGUGCGUAGGCUUGAGAGUUAGGUAAAUCCGGCUCUCUCUAAGGCUGAGACACGACGUCGAGCAUCUACGGAUGUGAAGUCAUUGAUGCCAUGCUUCCAGGAAAAGCCUCUAAGCUUCAGAUUGUAAGGAAUCGUACCCCAAACCGACACAGGUGGUCGGGUAGAGAAUACCAAGGCGCUUGAGAGAACUCGGGUGAAGGAACUAGGCAAAAUGGUACCGUAACUUCGGGAGAAGGUACGCUCCUGUCGGUGAAGUCCCUCGCGGAUGGAGCUAACGGGAGUCGCAGAUACCAGGUGGCUGCAACUGUUUAUUAAAAACACAGCACUGUGCAAAAUCGUAAGAUGACGUAUACGGUGUGACGCCUGCCCGGUGCCGGAAGGUUAAUUGAUGGGGUUAGACGUAAGUCGAAGCUCUUGAUCGAAGCCCCGGUAAACGGCGGCCGUAACUAUAACGGUCCUAAGGUAGCGAAAUUCCUUGUCGGGUAAGUUCCGACCUGCACGAAUGGCGUAAUGAUGGCCACGCUGUCUCCACCCGAGACUCAGUGAAAUUGAAAUCGCUGUGAAGAUGCAGUGUACCCGCGGCUAGACGGAAAGACCCCGUGAACCUUUACUACAGCUUGGCACUGAACAUUGACCCUACAUGUGUAGGAUAGGUGGGAGGCUUUGAAACCGGUACGCCAGUAUCGGUGGAGCCGUCCUUGAAAUACCACCCUUGUAGUGUUGAUGUUCUAACUUAGACCCGUUAUCCGGGUUGAGGACAGUGCCUGGUGGGUAGUUUGACUGGGGCGGUCUCCUCCCAAAGAGUAACGGAGGAGCACGAAGGUGGGCUAAUCACGGUUGGACAUCGUGAGGUUAGUGCAAUGGCAUAAGCCCGCUUGACUGCGAGAAUGACAAUUCGAGCAGGUGCGAAAGCAGGUCAUAGUGAUCCGGUGGUUCUGUAUGGAAGGGCCAUCGCUCAACGGAUAAAAGGUACUCCGGGGAUAACAGGCUGAUACCGCCCAAGAGUUCAUAUCGACGGCGGUGUUUGGCACCUCGAUGUCGGCUCAUCACAUCCUGGGGCUGAAGUCGGUCCCAAGGGUAUGGCUGUUCGCCAUUUAAAGUGGUACGCGAGCUGGGUUUAGAACGUCGUGAGACAGUUCGGUCCCUAUCUGCCGUGGGCGUUGGAAGAUUGAAGGGGGCUGCUCCUAGUACGAGAGGACCGGAGUGGACGAACCUCUGGUGUUCGGGUUGUCAUGCCAAUGGCAUUGCCCGGUAGCUAAGUUCGGAAUCGAUAACCGCUGAAAGCAUCUAAGCGGGAAGCGAGCCCUGAGAUGAGUCUUCCCUGACCCCUUGAGGGUCCUAAAGGGUUGUUCGAGACUAGAACGUUGAUAGGCAGGGUGUGUAAGCGUUGUGAGGCGUUGAGCUAACCUGUACUAAUUGCCCGUGAGGCUUAACCAUACAACACCCAAAGGGUUUUG